CAGGCGACGUCGGUACAAGGAGAUAUGGACAUUUUAAGGCGGAAAGGUCAAGCUGGGCAGUGAAAUGGGCCCAACCCGAUUCCAAUCCGGGUCAGGCCCAUUUCCUUAUUAUUUAAGGGAGUUUUCAGCCUCCUCCUCCACAUUUCAGAUCAGAAAAGAUCCAAAAAAUUCCAUUAGAGAGAGAGAGAGAAAACUUCAAGGCUAAGAAGAUCAUUUUGAUCAAAAUCCGAGCUCCGAAUCCCGAAGCUCAUGAAGAGAAAAACGUUGUACGUUGCGUUGCCUUCAAUUUGAGAUAAAUAUUAGUCUUGGGGGAUGAAAUUUUCGUGGUGGAUCUUCUGAUAAGAUUUUGGACGAGAUUGGGAUCGACGCCAAGCGAGCGUAAGGCGCUAUCGAGGUACAGGCGCACUCGGUGACACGCCGCCAGUCUAGGGCACAGGUUCUGCUAUCUUGAAGAGCUCCUUUUGAUUCGGAGCAUGUACUUUGGUAUAUAUAUCUUUUGUUUUUCGUAUGUUCUGUAUGUAUGGAAGUUCUGGGUACGGCGGGGCCCUGUCCCGUCAUAUGAUUCUGUAUGUCUGUAGAGGCCUGUAGAUAGAUGUGUGGGUUACGGGUUUCGUCUGUAUGUUAGCCUUAUCGGCUUAUCUGUAAAUGUCUGCAUGUUCAGGUAUAUAUAUAUGUUUGCGCGCGUGCCGUAUCUGUAUCGGCCUACUUCUGUAAUAUCCGUUUGAAAAAAAAAAAAACUGUACGA